UACGGAGGGGGCUAGCGUUGUUCGGAAUUACUGGGCGUAAAGCGCACGUAGGCGGCUUUGUAAGUUAGUGGUGAAAGCCCGGAGCUCAACUCCGGAAUUGCCUUUAAGACUGCAUCGCUUGAAUCAUGGAGAGGUGAGUGGAAUUCCGAGUGUAGAGGUGAAAUUCGUAGAUAUUCGGAAGAACACCAGUGGCGAAGGCGACUCACUGGACAUGUAUUGACGCUGAGGUGCGAAAGCGUGGGGAGCAAACAGG
rnacentral:rRNA from 1 species